rnacentral:rRNA from 1 species
GUAUGGUGCAAGCGUUAUCCGGAUUUACUGGGUGUAAAGGGAGCGUAGACGGCUGUGUAAGUCUGAAGUGAAAGCCCGGGGCUCAACCCCGGGACUGCUUUGGAAACUAUGCAGCUAGAGUGUCGGAGAGGUAAGCGGAAUUCCUAGUGUAGCGGUGAAAUGCGUAGAUAUUAGGAAGAACACCUGUGGCGAAGGCGGCUUACUGGACGGUAACUGACGUUGAGGCUCGAAAGCGUGGGGAGCAAACAGGAUUAGAUACCCUGGUAGUCCACGCCGUAAACGAUGAGUGCUAAGUGUUGGGGGUCGAACCUCAGUGCUGAAGUUAACGCAUUAAGCACUCCGCCUGGGGAGU